UACGGGGGGGGCAAGCGUUGUUCGGAAUUACUGGGCGUAAAGGGCUCGUAGGUGGCCAACUAAGUCAGACGUGAAAUCCCUCGGCUUAACCGGGGAACUGCGUCUGAUACUGGAUGGCUGGAGUAUGGGAGAGGGAUGCGGAAUUCCAGGUGUAGCGGUGAAAUGCGUAGAUAUCGAGAGGAACACCUGCGGCGAAGGCGGGUUGCUGGGCUGACACUGACGCUGAUGCGCGAAAGCCAGGGGAGCGAACGGG
rnacentral:rRNA from 1 species